rnacentral:rRNA from 1 species
UACGUAGGGUGCAAGCGUUGUCCGGAAUUAUUGGUCGUAAAGGGCUCGUCGGCGGUCUGUCACGUCGGGAGUGAAAACUCAGGGCUUAACCCUGAGCCUGCUUCCGAUACGGGCAGACUAGAGGUAUGCAGGGGAGAACGGAAUUCCUGGUGUAGCGGUGAAAUGCGCAGAUAUCAGGAGGAACACCGGUGGCGAAGGCGGUUCUCUGGGCAUUACCUGACGCUGAGGAGCGAAAGUGUGGGGAGCGAACAGG